rnacentral:misc_RNA from 1 species
CUAUUUCUGAAAAGAUGCAUGAACCUGGAGGAAAUCCCUCAAGACUUUGGGGACAUAUGUACCUUGGAAUCAAUAGAGUUGCAUAAAUGCAGUAUAUCCGCUGCUACGUCAGGCAAAAACAUUCAAGAAGAACAGGAGAGCAUAGGGAAUGAAUGUCUUAGUGUCCUCAUCUAUAAUCAUCCGUGAUUAGCAAAGUUGUGGAGAAAAUGGCGUGCGUACGAUUGACUCGACUCGACUCUCUAACAAGGGGAGAUCACUUGUAACUUGUUCAUUCUGCAAGUUAAGUCUCUUUUAUGUUCCUUAUAACAAUGAUUAAAGGACCUGAUUGUUAUGUAGGUUGUGUUGCUCUUUAAUUUUGCAAGCUAAACAUUAUAUGACUAGAAUUACAUUGUCA